AACGCACGAGACCUGCGGACCUGCGGAGGGAUCAUUAGUGAACGCCCUCACGGGCUUAUAACUAUUCCAAACCUCUGUGAACCGUGCCCUUCGGGGCUAUUUUACAAACAUGGUGUAAUGAACGUCAUAUAUCAUAACAAAACAAAACUUUAACAACGGAUCUCU
rnacentral:misc_RNA from 1 species